AAAGAAUGACAGAUUAGAGGACUAGGAAAGUAGCUCUGAGUCACACUACGCCAAUCCUUGAAUGCCCUCCGAAGGAGUGUAGAAUUUUACUUCUUAGGCAAGGGAAAGUUAAAACCAGAGAGGGUAAAAAAUAGAGAACUUUGUAAAAUGGAUUUGACAUUUUAUCUAUAAAAGCUCUUACUUAGGGAAUGACAGGCAAAGAGAUUCAUAAAAAUUCAAGUCCUAGGGAGAUUUUUCUUUGGCAAUUCUUUUUUUUUUCCCCCCAAAUGACUUUAGGAAAGAUAUAUAAAGUAAGUGCCAGAGGCUGAGGUGUUCCUGUCACUUUCUUUUUUUCCAUUCAUGUAGAACAUGAUUUGCCACUGCUUCGAACACAGGAGAGGUUUCACCAAUGGACUGACUGCAAUUCUCUGUGAAGGAGAUUUCCCAGUUUUCCAAUUGUGAUAUGAAUCACAUCUUCCAUCAGCAUCAGUCCUCAGGACACAGUUUUUGAAAAAACGAUGCCAUCUUUGCAAGUAUAACCACUUGCCGGAAAUAUCCAAACCCUCCCACCACUGUUCCACCGGGGAGCAGGACUCAGAUGCUGGGGAGCCUUAGGGAUCAUUCUGGUUACCUUGCAUGGGUAUAAGGUGCACGAUUGCUGGGGCCGUCCAGCUGUAUGCCUGGAAAUGAAAGGGACACACGGAGAGAGGAGCCUGAUCCAGAACUGCAGCAGGAAAUCCAAACUGGAGCCUGUCUCAUCUCUUGAACCUCAGUUAUUUGAAUUGGCACUCUUGCCACUUGUGCCCAGAUCCUCACAGCAGUCCUUACAUACCGUUAGCCCCGUUUUGCAUGUGAGCAAAUCGAGACGGGAGAGAGCUCCAAGAUCACACCGAGGGCUGAUAUCAAAGUCCAUGUCAUCAACCUCUGCUUCACUCUAAACUGGAGAGUCCGCUUCGCUUCUGAGGAACCAUUUCCAUCUGGUUGUCAGUUCUGCUCCCCAAACUGACUGCCCUGUGAUCUGGAUCAAAGCAGACCUCCUGGUCCUUACAUCCUGUCCAUUACAUCUUUUGCGGGCUGCGGAUCUGGCGCAGGUUUCUUUGUGGGCCAAAAGUAAAGAGAAUGUUAGCACUGACACUGUGCUUAGGAAAUUGUGCUCCAGAGGAGGGAGGGGAAUAAGGAAACCGACAUUCAAAGAAAGUACAUAAUAACAGGCACCCACUUCUUUUUUGCUUGCUUGUUUGUUUUUUGUCUUUUUCUAGGGCUGCACUCAUGGCAUUUGGAGGUUCCCAGGCUAGGGGUCCAAUCAGAGCUGU